GCGAGUGANGCGGUAAAAGCUCCAAAUUUGAAAUCUGGUACUUUCAGUGCCCGAGUUGUAAUUUGUAGAAUUUGUCUUUGAUUAGGUCCUUGUCUAUGUUCCUUGGAACAGGACGUCAUAGAGGGUGAGAAUCCCGUUUGGCGAGGAUACCUUUUCUCUGUAAGACUUUUUCGAAGAGUCGAGUUGUUUGGGAAUGCAGCUCAAAGUGGGUGGUAAAUUCCAUCUAAAGCUAAAUAUUGGCGAGAGACCGAUAGCGAACAAGUACAGUGAUGGAAAGAUGAAAAGAACUUUGAAAAGAGAGUGAAAAAGUACGUGAAAUUGUUGAAAGGGAAGGGCAUUUGAUCAGACAUGGUGUUUUUUGCAUGCACUCGCCUCUCGUGGGCUUGGGCCUCUCAAAAAUUUCACUGGGCCAACAUCAAUUCUGGCAGCAGGAUAAAUCAUUAAGAAUGUAGCUACUUCGGUAGUGUUAUAGCUUUUUGGAAUACUGUUAGCCGGGAUUGAGGACUGCGCUUCGGCAAGGAUGUUGGCAUAAUGGUUNAAUG
rnacentral:rRNA from 1 species